CCUACGGGUGGCAGCAGUGGGGAAUAUUGCACAAUGGGGGAAACCCUGAUGCAGCAACGCCGCGUGAAGGAAGACGGUUUUCGGAUUGUAAACUUCUGUUCUUAGUGAAGAAUAAUGACGGUAGCUAAGGAGCAAGCCACGGCUAACUACGUGCCAGCAGCCGCGGUAAUACGUAGGUGGCAAGCGUUAUCCGGAUUUACUGGGUGUAAAGGGCGUGUAGGCGGGGAAGCAAGUCAGAUGUGAAAACCACGGGCUCAACCUGUGGCCUGCAUUUGAAACUGUUUUUCUUGAGUGCUGGAGAGGCAAUCGGAAUUCCGUGUGUAGCGGUGAAAUGCGUAGAUAUACGGAGGAACACCAGUGGCGAAGGCGGAUUGCUGGACAGUAACUGACGCUGAGGCGCGAAAGCGUGGGGAGCAAACAGGAUUAGAUACCCCAGUAGUC
rnacentral:rRNA from 1 species